GUGAUCAACGAAGACAAAUGUUCCAGAAAUACCUAGAGGAAAAGCGACUGAAAAAAUUGAGAAACCUCAUCGACGACCAUUUAUAGUGGGUGUUUAUAGACCUGAUAAGCCUAUUUUUCUUUCAUGAAUACCAGCACACCAACCAAAAAAGUCCCUUUAUUCACUUAGCUAGUUGGCAGGAGCCGGGAGUGACAUCCUAAUAGUUCAGAAGAUGGAGAUGAGGUCUCUCGGUGCAGCCGUAGCUCAUUUGGGCCAUCUGGAUAACAAGCAGUUGGGAAUAAAAAUUUGAAAAUCAGGACGGAGAUCCAUGCUGAGUGGUGGAUUUAGGAUAUGAUAUUGGGAGUAUGGAUGGGGGUUUAAGCUGUAGGGCUAAAUGAGACCACUCCAGUAAAGAUAUAUACAUUGUGAAAGAGUGAGGUCUAGAGAGCACCUUCAAGUGGGCAGAAGUCAGGUACCAGUGAUAGGUCAGAUUGGCAGGAGAGCUAAAACAGGACAGAAGCUGGAGGAGGGGGGUG
rnacentral:lncRNA from 1 species